rnacentral:tRNA from 1 species
UCGUUAGCUCAGUCGGUAGAGCAGUUGACUUUUAAUCAAUUGGUCGCCGGUUCGAGCCGAGCGAAGCGAGACA